ACGGGAGAAUUGCUAGCUUGCUAUAAUUCUCUAGUGGCGCACGGGUGAGUAACACGUGAGUAACCUGCCCCCAAGAGUGGGAUAGCCCCGGGAAACUGGGAUUAAUACCGCAUAAAAUCGCAAGAUUAAAGCAGCAAUGCGCUUGGGGAUGGGCUCGCGUCCUAUUAGUUAGUUGGUGAGGUAACGGCUCACCAAGGCGAUGACGGGUAGCCGGUCUGAGAGGAUGUCCGGCCACACUGGAACUGAGACACGGUCCAGACACCUACGGGUGGCAGCAGUCGAGAAUCAUUCACAAUGGGGGAAACCCUGAUGGUGCGACGCCGCGUGGGGGAAUGAAGGUCUUCGGAUUGUAAACCCCUGUCAUGUGGGAGCAAAUUAAAAAGAUAGUACCACAAGAGGAAGAGACGGCUAACUCUGUGCCAGCAGCCGCGGUAAUACAGAGGUCUCAAGCGUUGUUCGGAAUCACUGGGCGUAAAGCGUGCGUAGGCGGUUUCGUAAGUCGUGUGUGAAAGGCGGGGGCUCAACCCCCGGACUGCACAUGAUACUGCGAGACUAGAGUAAUGGAGGGGGAACCGGAAUUCUCGGUGUAGCAGUGAAAUGCGUAGAUAUCGAGAGGAACACUCGUGGCGAAGGCGGGUUCCUGGACAUUAACUGACGCUGAGGCACGAAGGCCAGGGGAGCGAAAGGGAUUAGAUACCCCUGUAGUCCUGGCAGUAAACGGUGCACGCUUGGUGUGCGG
rnacentral:rRNA from 1 species